UACAGAGGUCUCGAGCGUUAGGCGGAAUCAUUGGGCUUAAAGCGUGUGUAGGCGGAUCGUUAAGUGCCUUGUGAAAUCCCACGGCUUAGCCGUGGAACUGCUUGGCAUACUGGCGGUCUUGAGCAACCUAGGGGCGGAAGCGGAACAAAUGGUGGAGCGGUGAAAUGCGUAGAUAUCAUUUGGAACGCCAAUGGUGAAAACAGCUCGCUGGGGGUUUGCUGACGGCUGAGACGGCGAAAGCCAGGGGAGCAAACGGG
rnacentral:rRNA from 1 species